UAGCCGUAAACGAUACUCGCUAGGUGUCGGCCACGGUGCGACCGUUGUCGGUGCCGUAGGGAAGCCGUGAAGCGAGCCACCUGGGAAGUACGGCCGCAAGGCUGAAACUUAAAGGAAUUGGCGGGGGAGCACCACAACGGGUGGAGCUUGCGGUUUAAUUGGAUUCAACGCCGGACAACUCACCAGGAGCGACGGUUACAUGAAGGCCAGGCUGAUGACCUUGCCUGAUUUUCCGAGAGGAGGUGCAUGGCGUAGU
rnacentral:rRNA from 1 species